CCACUUUUGUACAGUUGGACCUCAGA
rnacentral:rRNA from 1 species